CACGGUCGCCGCCGUGGUUCCGCGCCGCUGCUCCCCCGAGUCCUCCCACGACGCUGCGCUGCAACCCGUAGUGGCCGCCCUCUCGUCGACAACUAGCGAUUCGCAUCGAGCACCGAGAAAGGCUACACUAUGUGUUCCACAGCGAGAAGCGCAUAUGGCUCGUUUUUUAGUACCUGGAUCUGGACCUCAAGAAGUUCAUGGAUUCUUCUCCAGAGUUUGCCAAGAGCCCUGCUUUGAUCAAGUCAUCUCUAUCAGAUACUCUGCGGCGUUGCUUAUUGUCAUUCUCAUAGAGUUCUUCAUCGAGAUUUGAAACCUCAGAAUCUAUCGAUAGAUCGGCGUACUAACGCAUUGAAGCUUGCAGACUUUGGUUUAGCCAGGGCAUUUGGAAUCCCUGUUCGUACAUUUACUCAAGAGGUAUUUUUCUUCUAUUACUCGUUUACAAGCGCAUUGAGAACUGUUCCAGUACCACGUCGCCUUUUGGCAGGAUCUUAGUAUACAAUUUUGCAUCUUAGUAUGUACUACAUAUGAUUUUGCAUCUAAACAGGCUCAUUGUUCUUGUAUCAAACAACACCAUGGCACAUCAACUCACAAGGCAUGUCUAUGGGAAGUAUUUUGCAGAAAUGGUGAAGCAGAAGCCACUGUUUCCCGGCGAUUCUGAGAUUGAUGAAUUAUUUAAGAUAUUCAGGUUCGAUUCAUUUACUCAAGAGGUCAGUACAAUGGUUUCUUAUUUGAAUUCAGUAUGAUGUUUUCUUAUUAGAGGCCAGAACAAUGUUGAUUGACAGAUAGUGACAAGAAAGCAGUCGCAAAUUUUCCCAAGUGUUCCAAGUGAAUCUUUUGGAACAUAAGGUCGUUGGUUUACAUAUGUAGAAAUUACUAAUAUGGCACCUCAUGUUCCCUUCACAUGCCUGGUGCGUCAUCUGUUUUUGAGGCCUCUGACACUAUCAUGGCUUACUAAUGUGGGCAUUUUCGUGAUGGUGCUUAACUACUCAUGUAUUGGUUUCCAAAUAAUUUUCAUGAUGGUGCUUAAAUACUCAUGCACCGAUGCACAUGCCUACUGUCUGUAUUGUACACUAUCUUGAUCAUUCCAUCUGCAGUAGCUUGAUCAUUCUAUUCUAUGAACUUUCUCUGAAUUUAUAUACAUAUUCACUAUGAAUACUGAGAUUCAGAGACCAUUUAGCACAUGACAGUAGAGAUGAUUUUUUUCCAUCAACAUUUCCUUCUCCUUUAUUGAGUACCUCCAUUUUUUGGCUUUUUGAUAAUAUCAAUUUAGAGAACAUGAUUUAUUCAUUCUAGCAGUAUUCUGGAACUUGUCUACUAAAUAAAUUCAGAGAAAGGAAAGCAAAACAAUCUGGAACUUGUCUACUGAAUAAAUUCAGAUGAAAUUCAGAGAAACUACAGUAGAUAAAUUUGGAUUGUACCUUCAUUUUGAUUUUCUUCAUGUAUGAUGCCAUCAGGUGGACUGAAAUUCAGGUCUGAAGAACCAUGAGUCAAUAACUGCAAGUUUCAUAUCAGGAAUAAUGAGAAAAAAGGGAGGCGCGUCGGUGGUGGCCCCCGGGAAAGUAGGAUCAAGGGGGCGGCGACCAGCGAGCUGAUGUUGGGUGGAGGCCAGCGUGCUACUCUACUGAGGGCCGUCGAUCAGUGAUCCUCUGCUUGGUGCGGCGUCGUCGUGCUGCCGGGGAGCAGCUGGGUGAGAUAUAGGUGACGCUAGGAAGAAGGGAAUGUACCACAAUUGCUAUCGUUGUUAUUACUUUGUGGAAUUCAGUGUAAUUUUAACAGCUGAGGUACUAGAGCAUGUUCUAGAUAUUGUUUUCGGACAAGGUUCCAAAUGUUGGUUUCAGGCCUGUUGGUCUCAACACCAUGAUAACUGCAUAUAUUGAUUCCAAAUUUGGGAUCCUGUAAUUUGGGAUGCUGUGCAUUUUAAUGCAUGAUCAUGUCGGAUUUAAA